CAUUGCUCAAUGCUCAGUCUAAUUGAUAAAUUUUGAUAAUAGGUUAUUGAUAAUAUUGUUAUAAAAGCAGUAUAAUUAGCUAUCAAUUAUUGUUGUUCCCACAGAGCAAGUAAUAUGUUGUUCCAAACAGGAGAACAGUUCAAAUUCAUAUUAAUAACUAAAAUGACAAGGUAUAUAAAAGGUAAAAAAGAACAACAUAGGUAUUUCUACAGAAAUGUUUGAGAUUUGGUAACAUUUGAUCCCUUUAAAUGGAUUAAUAAUCAUCGAGUUGUCAUUUCAAAUAAAGUAUUACCGCCCCAGAUGAAAAAAUUCAUACUAAUAGGCUUGAUGAAAUCAAGGGCCAUAUGUUUUUGGUAACGGCUAAGGAAUUUACUGAGGUGUUUUAAUACCUAGUUUUUGAUAAAAUAAAGAUGUGUCUGUGAAUGUGUCAAAUGUGAAUAACAAAAUUAGUUUCAUUGCUUACUUAUGUAAUAGGAAGGGACAGUUUGGGAUGAAUCGCACAUUCGUGUGAGCAACCUCAUUUCUGAAUGUUGGUACUCAGGCACACCAUUUUCCCAUAAAAAGUUAAGCAGCGUUUAAAGACGAAGUAUGUUAGGGGGUGCAAUAUUAUUUGAAGUCUGACCUCUGUAUACGCUGCCGCCACCACAUAGGUGUGACAUACCAAGCUAAACGACAGAACAUUCAAAGGCGUCAAGUUAAAUUAAGAAAAUUUAAUUGAUACAACUGGAUAUAAUGGAACAAGAGUUUAUUCAAAACUCUUAACAUUCUUAUUUUUACGAGUCCAAAAUUUUUAUUACUUUUUAAUCAGCCAUAAUCGUACAUGUACCUUGUAUUAAUAAUUAACAAACAAGGUAAUGUUAGGAUUUAUAUAAUAAAAUAAUAUGUAAACUAUA